AAUAUACAGAAAUGCGCGAGGCGGUGGUUGGUUUUCGUUUCUUCUUGGUGGUUGUGGGCAUGCAGUGGAAUUGUUGAGAGUGCGUGUGUGAGCUAUGGACAGUGUUGACUUCUGAGUGUGGUCUUCCAGGCGACAGGUUGUGUGUCCCAAGUGUGAUGGUGCUUGUGCUGUUCGGUGUAUAGAUUUGGAUUCUCCGAGGCCCUUCUGCGUUUUCAUCGUUGUAGAUACAAUUAUGCUCGUUUGCCUUCUCGACAUGCUGGAAGCUGAGCAGCGUUCGCGGAGGCCCGCGCCUUCAAGCCGGUAGCCGCCAGCUUCGGUUCCCGCGGCACUCAGGCUUCGUCCAUUUCUGGUCAGUUUCACGGGUACGGCCGCCGGGGUCUGCGGGAGAGGCCAGGAAAAGACAAUGGGCGCAUUCUCCAGGCCUCGCGCCUCGGGUGGGGACUUCGGGAUCAUCUCCAAGGAACAUUUUUCCACCCCUUCCCCUGGUGAGCCACAUUCCCGCGUGGGUCAGAUACCCCGUCGCAUCGAUGACCAGGGCCGGGCUAGGUCAGCGCUGCCCUAGCUCUGAAAGAAAGGAUUUUGUUUUGCCAGUGGUUGUGGUUGCUAAUGUCAUCAUCACCAUCACAGUCAUCGUCAUCACCAUCAUAUUUUAAUUAAAAUAGUCAUGUAGGAGCGACUAGUCCCUUUUAGCUUCUUUGGGGCGCUAACAAAGCAGCGGGGGUUUCCUCCCACCAGCGCUCUGUUUUUUAAGUUGCUGGGUUUGUGACUAGGAGAGACAUGGAGAGACUCCAUCCUAAAGCAAAAAUUAACCCCGACCUAAGACACCGGGCACAACUGGAUUUCCCCUUGUUCUCACCCCUCCCCCCUUUUGAAUUAGAAGAGGAGAAAGAAAAUCUGCAUUGGAUUGAAACUGCAGGGAACAGUUAUUACUGUAUUUUCACUAAAGCCAGGGCAAAAAAAAGAGGUGGCAUUAGCUAUUAAUCCAAGACUUCGAUGUGUGGCCAUAA
rnacentral:lncRNA from 1 species